rnacentral:rRNA from 1 species
UACGGAGGGGGCCAGCGUUGCUCGGAAUCACUGGGCGUAAAGGGCUUGUAGGCGGUCUGAUAAGUCCUGUGUGAAAUCCCUUGGCUUAACCAAGGAAUUGCGCCGGAUACUGUCGGACUAGAGGCCGGGAGAGGGAAGCGGAAUUCCGAGUGUAGCGGUGAAAUGCGUAGAUAUUCGGAGGAACACCGGUGGCGAAGGCGGCUUCCUGGACCGGUUCUGACGCUGCAGAGCGAAAGCUAGGGGAGCAAACAGG